UUUCAUGGCAGCCGUGCGUGUGCGGGCUUCGGUCCGGGCCGCGGUUCCUGGACGCGGUCUUCUCACCUCGCGUACGGCUGCCACCCAA
rnacentral:antisense_RNA from 17 species